rnacentral:rRNA from 1 species
UACGAAGGGGGCUAGCGUUGCUCGGAAUCACUGGGCGUAAAGGGUGCGUAGGCGGGUCUUUUAAGUCAGGGGUGAAAUCCUGGAGCUCAACUCCAGAACUGCCUUUGAUACUGAAGAUCUUGAGUUCGGGAGAGGUGAGUGGAACUGCGAGUGUAGAGGUGAAAUUCGUAGAUAUUCGCAAGAACACCAGUGGCGAAGGCGGCUCACUGGCCCGAUACUGACGCUGAGGCACGGAAAGCGAUGGGGAGCAAACAGGG